rnacentral:tRNA from 1 species
GCCUUCGGGGUGUAGUGGUCAGCACGCUCGACGCAUAACCGAGAAAUCCAUGGUUCGAUUCCCGGCGAAGGCC